UACGGAGGGUGCGAGCGUUGUCCGGAAUCAUUGGGCGUAAAGGGCGCGUAGGUGGCCCGGUCAGUUCGUGGUGAAAGCGCGGGGCUCAACCCUGCGUCGGCCAUGAAUACUGCCGCGGCUGGAGCACUGUAGAGGCAGGCGGAAUUCCGGGUGUAGCGGUGGAAUGCGUAGAGAUCCGGAAGAACACCGGUGGCGAAGGCGGCAUCCUGGACCAAUACUGACACUGAGGAGCGAAAGCCAGGGGAGCAAACGGG
rnacentral:rRNA from 1 species